CAGCCGCCACGGUAAUACGGAGGGUGCAAGCGUUAAUCGGAAUUACUGGGCGUAAAGCGUGCGUAGGCGGUUCGUUAAGUCUGUUGUGAAAGCCCCGGGCUCAACCUGGGAAUGGCAAUGGAUACUGGCGAGCUAGAGUGUGUCAGAGGAUGGUGGAAUUCCCGGUGUAGCAGUGAAAUGCGUAGAUAUGCGGAGGAACACCGAUGGCGAAGGCAGCCCCCUGGGCCAAUACUGACGCUCAUGCACGAAAGCGUGGGGAGCAAACAGGAUUAGAUACCCGCGUAGUCCCUGUCUCUUAUAC
rnacentral:rRNA from 1 species